GGGUUUAUAUUCCUGUGACUUGAACACUUCAUGACUGAGAGCUGCUGCUCAGCAUCUUCACCCACAGCAACCAUGACUUUGAUCAGCAUCUUCAUCUGCACACUGGCCCUCUGGACUCAAGGAUCCAGAGGUCAAGUGACUGUGACUCAGAUUCCUUCAGUGCAAACUGUUGUUCCUGGAGACACAGUUACCAUCAGCUGUAAAAUCAGCACUGCUGUGUGGCAUAAUUGUGGGCCACAGGGUGUAACAAAUGAGUGUCUCGCCUGGUACCUACAGAAACCUGGAGUAGUUCCUAAACUCCUUGUGCGUUAUGGGAGUCACUUGUUCUCAGGAACUCCAGUUCGGUUCAGUGGCAGUGGAUCUAAGACUGACUUCACUCUGACCAUUAGUGGAGUCCAGGUUGAAGACGCAGGAGAUUACUACUGUCAGAGUUACCAUAGUGAUGGAGUGAUCACACAGUGGUUGAGCGACGUACAAAAACCUUAGUCAGUGAGAAGCACAGAGAAACACUGCUGCAGCUGGGAGAGACUGCAGGUGCUGAGGGGGAGGACGUGAUAUAAUGUGGAGAGUAAAAAGAAGAAUACACAAACUCUAAUGCACUACUGUAUAUAUACACAUACACACACACACAGGUAUAAUUCUAUUGAUUCAUUUCGGUGUCUUAGUGCAUUACUAGUCACAUUUUGGACACAUUUUCUCUUUUAGUAGUUUUUCCCUUUUUUAUUACUUUCAACAUUGUACAUUAAUACUGAAGAAUCCAAACUAUGCAAGAACACGUGAAAUUAUGUAGUCAACAAUAACGUGUUAAAUAACCCAUAAUCUCACCAUGUUCUCGACUUGGUAGGACUAUUGUUCAACGUCACGCAAUCCUAAACACAACCUGGCUCCCGCAAAGCCGCAUGCACCCGCCCACAAACGACAAUGAUUGGAUCAUGCACGCUCAGUUGGCAUAACCGACGUCUUAAAUAAGCCUUUAACGGCAGCCAAUAGGCUGUCACACCAGUCAUUCAGGCGACUGUCACGUUUACGACGGCGGUACCUAGACUGCCCUACUACACAAGGCUUCUUAACAUGAACCAAAUCACCAGGUUGAAAUCGUGAAGACUUAGCAUUUUUUUUAGUAUCUGUGUACUGUUUAACCUUGUCUUGUUUGCUUUUUACAAGUUGUCGUAGCUUGUUUCUGUCUGUUUCUUUUACGGGAAGGUCCAUCACUUGUACCUUGGUCCUCAUACAGCGGCCAUGGAGUAACUCAGAUGGUGUAACACCUGUGGUGCUGUGAGGAGUACUUCUAUAGUUCAUUAAGAAUGUUUGAGUAAAUGUCUUCCAAGGUUCGCCUUGAAUUGAAACAGUUUAUAAACAGUCUUUCAAAACUCGAUUAAACCUCUUGACUUCUCCAUUUGCACGAGGAUAAUA